AGAACGAACGCUGGCGGCAGGCUUAACACAUGCAAGUCGAACGCUCGUAGCGAUACGAGAGUGGCAGACGGGUGAGUAACACGUGGGAACGUUCCCCUCGGUUCGGAAUAACUCAGGGAAACUUGAGCUAAUACCGGAUACGUCCGCGAGGAGAAAGAUUCAUCGCCGAGGGAUCGGCCCGCGUCUGAUUAGCUAGUUGGUGAGGUAACGGCUCACCAAGGCGACGAUCAGUAGCUGGUCUGAGAGGAUGACCAGCCACACUGGGACUGAGACACGGCCCAGACUCCUACGGGAGGCAGCAGUGGGGAAUCUUGGACAAUGGGCGCAAGCCUGAUCCAGCCAUGCCGCGUGAGUGAUGAAGGCCCUAGGGUUGUAAAGCUCGUUUCGGCGGGGACGAUAAUGACGGUACCGCAGAAGAAGCCCCGGCUAACUUCGCGCCAGCAGCCGC
rnacentral:rRNA from 1 species